GGCUUUGGAAGAGCCAGACGUCUGGCUGACGGAUGUGCCCAAGAUAGUGAGCUGCAUCCUUGAAAGCCUGCAAGACAUCACGACACAGGCAGCGUGGGAGAAAGUGGAGUCACUACUCCGCCUGCUGACCAACUGUUUCCCCACAACAGUGGUCAUCCUCCUGUGUCAGGUGGCUCUUCAAGGAGACAGCACUGCCCCCGAGCUGUGGGAGCUGAUGUCCUCCAU